UACGUAGGCAGCAAGCGUUGUUCGGAGUUACUGGGCGUAAAGGGUGUGUAGGCGGUCUUCUAGGUUUGGUGUGAAAUCUCCCGGCUCAACUGGGAGGGUGCGCCGAAAACUGGGAGGCUAGAGUACUGGAUGGGAGAGUGGAAUUCCUGGUGUAGCGGUGAAAUGCGUAGAUAUCAGGAGGAACACCUGUGGUGUAGACGGCUCUCUGGACAGUAACUGACGCUGAGACACGAAAGCGUGGGUAGCAAACAGG
rnacentral:rRNA from 1 species